GACGAACGCUGGCGGCGUGCUUAACACAUGCAAGUCGAACGGAAAGGCCCUGCUUUUGUGGGGUGCUCUAGUGGCGAACGGGUGAGUAACACGUGAGUAACCUGCCCUUGACUUUGGGAUAACUUCAGGAAACUGGGGCUAAUACCGGAUAGGAGCUCCUGCUGCAUGGUGGGGGUUGGAAAGUUUCGGCGGUUGGGGAUGGACUCGCGGCUUAUCAGCUUGUUGGUGGGGUAGUGGCUUACCAAGGCUUUGACGGGUAGCCGGCCUGAGAGGGUGACCGGGCACAUUGGGACUGAGAGACGGCGCAGACUGCUACGGGAGGCAGCAGUGGGGAACAUUGCACAAUGGGCGGAAGCCUGAUGCAGCAACGCCGCGUGCGGGAUGACGGCCUUCGGGUUGUAAACCGCUUUCGCCUGUGACGAAGCGUGAGUGACGGUAAUGGGUAAAGAAGCACCGGCUAACUACGUG
rnacentral:rRNA from 1 species